GGGGAUUUAGCUCAGUGGUAGAGCGCUUGCCUAGGAAGCGCAAGGCCCUGGGUUCAGUCCCCU
rfam:Rattus norvegicus chromosome 10, whole genome shotgun sequence.